AUUAUUUAAUAUCUCAAUCAUCA
rnacentral:snRNA from 1 species